rnacentral:rRNA from 2 species
GGAAACAGGUGCUAAUACCGUAUAACAACAAAAACCGCAUGGUUUUUUGUUUGAAAGGUGGCUUCGGCUAUCACUUCUGGAUGGUUCCGCGGCGCAUUAGCUUGUUGGUGGGGUAACGGCUCACCAAGGCGAUGAUGCGUAGCCGACCUGAGAGGGUAAUCGGCCACAUUGGGACUGAGACACGGCCCAGACUCCUACGGGAGGCAGCAGUAGGGAAUCUUCCACAAUGGACGCAAGUCUGAUGGAGCAAUGCCGCGUGAGUGAAGAAGGGUUUCGGCUCGUAAAACUCUGUUGUUGAAGAAGAACGGGUGUCAGAGUAACUGUUGACAUCGUGACGGUAUUCAACCAGAAAGCCACGGCUAACUACGUGCCAGCAGCCGCGGUAAUACGUAGGUGGCAAGCGUUGUCCGGAUUUAUUGGGCGUAAAGCGAGCGCAGGCGGUUUCUUAAGUCUGAUGUGAAAGCCUUCGGCUUAACCGAAGAAGUGCAUCGGAAACUGGGGAACUUGAGUGCAGAAGAGGACAGUGGAACUCCAUGUGUAGCGGUGGAAUGCGUAGAUAUAUGGAAGAACACCAGUGGCGAA